AAAGCUACAUGCACAUUUCCAUAAUAUAAUGAGCAUAUUUCCAUAUAAUGAAUUGAAAGAGGUAUAUGCUCAUCAUAUGCUGGCUUUGGCUACUAGCCCAUUAACUUGGUGAAGCAUACACAGCCACAUGGUGCUACAGGUGAUUGGAAGGAGCAUCUAAUGGGCAUGAGAGAACUAGCAAAGCAGCAGAAGAAAGGGUCCACUACAUGAAAUCUUAUCUAGAGCCAACCAAUGGAUUCUCUCUCUCCUUUCCAUGUACAGCUCAAAACACUAUCCAUUUGUAAUUUGCAUUCCACUUCACAAAUGAUUGCUUAAUAAAAAUGUCAUCCCAUGUUUCUAAAUUUAAACAAAAUCCCAAGUGAAGUAACAGUCAUGGCCCAUUCCCUAAUCACAACACCAGCCACAGUAAGCUCCUCUUUCUUAACCAAAUCUAAGAAGAAGACAACUACCCACGUUCCAUCUCUAGGGCUUCAAAGAGUAUUGGCUUGCCAUAAAGACUCUAAGCCAAUCUCUGCUGGCAAUCCCAUUCAUCGCAGGACUGUAAGCCUUGGUUUGGCAGGUGGAUUGCUGGGCUUGAACAUUGGCGGCUGGAGUGCUAAUGCAGCUCGAAGGCCGCCACCUCCACCACCGGAGGAGAAAAAGGACCCUAAUUUAAGUGGUGUGCAAGCAAAAGUCCUAGCUAGCAAGAAGAGGAAGGAAGCCAUGAAAGAGUUUGCGGCCAAACAAAGAGAGAAAGGAAAGCCCAUAAACGAACCAUCUGAACAGCAAUAAAGAAAUUGUACUUGUUAUGUCCAGCCUUAACAUUCAAAAAUUUUCUUGAGUGGAAAGGAAAUUGCUGUACUUCAAUAAAGAGUAAAUGAGAGAGAUUUCAUCAAUAUGCAAUUUUUCUGUUUUAAAUUUUCCAGAAUAAGAAACAAGGAUAAUAAAUUCAACCAACAUUUUUUUUCAUUUGGAAUUGAGUGGGGCUCAAACUCAAGAGACAUCAUUGUCUUAAAAAUGAUUCAACUACCUGGAGGAAAAGCUCAUUGGCAUUUCAACAAACAAAUUUAGCAAACCAAGUUGAGUUGCGCCCGAUUGAAGGAUCAGUUGAGCUCUGCAAAACACUGUAUGUUGCAGGAAUUCAAAGUAGUACUUCUGUAACAUAUUUAGGGGCUUCAGUUUUACCUGAGAAGCAUUAUGUUCUGUUCCUGUUGAGCAGGAUAUACAUGUCCUUUUCAACAAUAUCAACCUCAUUUUAGAGACUCAGACCUUCAAGAAACUAUACUGAAAUGAGAGC
rnacentral:misc_RNA from 1 species